AUCAAAAACAUAAGCUACUAAGUUAUUACAGCAUUCCACUUAGAUGCAUUUUACAACAUAACUUUUCUUUUAUAAUCAACCUCCAAAUACAAUCAUAAUUAUUACAAUUUCUAUUACAACUUAAACAAAAGUUUGUUCUUGUCUUUAAACCUCCCAAGCUAGACCACCAACUCGGGUACUGCUAUCUCAGUCUCUGGGUAGGACGCUAUCUGCAGAACUACGUCCUCGCCUUGCGCCGCCGCGCCGCACACGUGUGUACCUGUACCCCC
rnacentral:lncRNA from 1 species